CAGGCAGCUUUUCUGGCACAAAUCCAUUCUGUUUACUGAUGUCUAUCUUGUUAAAUAUGCUUCCCAUCAAAUUGGGAGACCAUCACUUGUCCUUUUAGAGAAGAAAAGCUACAUCGUUAGGAGCAGUGGUGAUGAGGGCCCACCAUCCUGCAAAGCGAGGAAUACAGAGAGGACGCGAGGAGGCGUGCUGUAUGUCCACAUGGCACAGCCAUGUGAUUCGGGAAGAGGAGACCAAAUGGUUUCGAGUCUUAAUCCCCGUGGACCUGAGCCACCAGGGCUCACCGGUCUCAUGACAAAAGCCUGGGAAAGCAAAGUCACGCAAGCUUAUAUAGGAGCAGCUGCCAUUCAGCACAUAUUCAGCAACUGUCAUUAGAGGUAACGUGCAUACAAACCGGUUUUCUAAGACAAGUUUCCAAUAUUUUCUCAUUGUGACUUUCCACAUCAGGGCUGUCCACAUCACCCACCUCAGACAAAGGGAAAACGAAUAUGAUGGCCAUCCUCGCCCUUCCUUUUGGUGGGAAGAAGUCAAUAGAAGAUCCAACAAUAAUGAGAGUAAUAACUGUUA